GGUGAACGCUGGCGGUAGGCCUAACACAUGCAAGUCGAACGGCAGCACAGUAAGAGCUUGCUCUUACGGGUGGCGGGUGGCGGACGGGUGAGGAGUACAUCGGAAUCUACUUUUUCGUGGGGGAUAACGUAGGGAAACUUACGCUAAUACCGCAUACGACCUACGGGUGAAAGCAGGGGAUCUUCGGACCUUGCGCGAUUGAAUGAGCCGAUGUCGGAUUAGCUAGUUGGCGGGGUAAAGGCCCACCAAGGCGACGAUCCGUAGCUGGUCUGAGAGGAUGAUCAGCCACACUGGAACUGAGACACGGUCCAGACUCCUACGGGAGGCAGCAGUGGGGAAUAUUGGACAAUGGGCGCAAGCCUGAUCCAGCCAUACCGCGUGGGUGAAGAAGGCCUUCGGGUUGUAAAGCCCUUUUGUUGGGAAAGAAAAGCAGCAGGUUAAUACCCCGCUGUUCUGACGGUACCCAAAGAAUAAGCACCGGCUAACUUCGUG
rnacentral:rRNA from 1 species